rnacentral:rRNA from 1 species
GUGAGGAAUAUUGCGCAAUGGAGGCAACUCUGACGCAGCCAUGCCGCGUGCAGGAAGAAGGCGCUACGCGUUGUAAACUGCUUUUAACCGGGAAGAAACCCCAGGACGUGUCCUGGGUUGACGGUACCGGAGGAAUAAGCACCGGCUAACUUCGUGCCAGCAGCCGCGGUAAUACGAAGGGUGCAAGCGUUAUCCGGAUUCAUUGGGUUUAAAGGGUGUGUAGGCGGAGCAUUAAGUCAGUGGUGAAAUCCUGCAGCUUAACUGUGGACUUGCCAUUGAUACUGGCGCUCUUGAGUGCGGUUGAAGUGGGCGGAAUGUGCCGUGUAGCGGUGAAAUGCUUAGAUAUGGCACAGAACACCAAUUGCGAAGGCAGCUCACUAAGGCGAUACUGACGCUGAGGCACGAAAGCGUGGGGAUCGAACAGGAUUAGAUACCCCAGUAGUCC